rnacentral:misc_RNA from 1 species
GAUGAAGAACGCAGCGAAAUGCGAUAAGUAGUGUGAAUUGCAGAAUUCAGUGAAUCAUCGAAUCUUUGAACGCACAUUGCGCCCCUUGGUAUUCCAUGGGGCAUGCCUGUUCGAGCGUCAUUUGUACCUUCAAGCUUUGCUUGGUGUUGGGUGUUUGUCUCGCCUUUGCGUGUAGACUCGCCUUAAAAUAAUUGGCAGCCGGCGUAUUGAUUUCGGAGCGCAGUACAUCUCGCGCUUUGCACUCAUAACGACAGCGUCCAAAAGUACAUUUUACACUCUUGACCUCGGAUCAGGUAGGGAUACCCGCUGAACUUAAGCAUAUCAUAAGCGGAGGA